GUGGGGUGAUGGCCUACCAAGGCGACGACGGGUAGCGGGCCUGAGAGGGCGACCGGCCACACUGGGACUGAGACACGGCCCAGACUCCUACGGGAGGCAGCAGUGGGGAAUAUUGCGCAAUGGGCGGAAGCCUGACGCAGCGACGCCGCGUGGGGGAUGACGGCCUUCGGGUUGUAAACCUCUUUCAGCAGGGACGAAGCGAGAGUGACGGUACCUGCAGAAGAAGCACCGGCCAACUACGUGCCAGCAGCCGCGGUAAUACGUAGGGGCAAGCGUUGUCCGGAAUUAUUGGGCGUAAAGAGCUCGUAGGCGGCCUGUUGCGUCGGCUGUGAAAACCCGGGGCUCAACUCCGGGCCUGCAGUCGAUACGGGCAGGCUAGAGUCCGGCAGGGGAGACUGGAAUUCCUGGUGUAGCGGUGAAAUGCGCAGAUAUCAGGAGGAACACCGGUGGCGAAGGCGGGUCUCUGGGCCGGAACUGACGCUAAGGAGCGAAAGCGUGGGGAGCGAACAGGAUUAGAUACCCUGGUAGUCCACGCCGUAAACGUUGGGCGCUAGGUGUGGGGGACCUUCCACGGCCUCCGUGCCGCAGCUAACGC
rnacentral:rRNA from 1 species